ACAUUACAUUCUGCUGGCAAUUUCCAUGGAACAUGUUCAUUGCUCGCACAUUUCCGCCUUUUCCAGAUUACUGCAAAAAAUUCUUCAAUUGUUAUGAAUCCUUUUCCUCUAAUGCUAUGAUCAACUCCAAGUUAUCGUUGCCCCUACGGAUUUUUAAUCGAACUUCAUCACCUAUGUUAUAAUUAUCCAGGAUUUUAUACAAAUCUGCUUUACUCUUAACAGGUUUGUCAUCCACUGCUUCAAUAAUAUCACCAAGUACUAUAUUUCCUGCAAAA
rnacentral:misc_RNA from 1 species